rnacentral:lncRNA from 10 species
AACUCAGUGGCAUGAAAGCAUCCCAGAACGUUCAGAUGUGUGCCCAGCCCUGUGGCUCUCACGCAUCUCCUGUGCUAGGGGGACGAUCUGGAUCAGUGCCUGGCCCAUGGAAGACUCCUGACCCAGGCUUGUUCACUGAAUGAAGGCAUUCCACAUGUUCUGUGAUGCGGGCAAGUCAUUCAUUCAUUUAUGCAUUUAGAAUGAGCUUUGAGAAUAUGGCAGCCUACAAAAUGGACAUGGUCCUGCCUUCAGGGAGCUUCUGGUCCAGCCUAUGGCCUCUUGCCUGGAAAGAGAUGUUACCACGUUAUUAGGAGGUAGUGUGGUGUGAGCCACUUUGGAAGGAAUGGUGACUCUGAACCUCUGGGGGAUGGAAGAAAAGAAUGCUGCUUUGCAUGGACAAACCUGAGUUCGAUUCCCAGCGCUGUUUAUCGGAUGUGGGAUCUGAUCUUGGGGGGACCUUCUUCAAGCCUCUCUGAGCUUCAGUUUCUGCAUUAAAAAUGAGAAGAAA